CGGCAAACCCAGUGUAUGCUGCUGCAGGACAAGACAAGAUUGCAGCAUGAAAACAGAGAGGAGGGGGUUACAGAGCAGCCUUUAUUCAUUGGUUCAAGAGACUCAGCACAGCAGACUCAGGAAGGAAGUGAAUGCAUGGGUAUCCUAGUGAAUAAGCUUUUCAGACUUCAGAGGUCUCUUCAUCUGCUGUAAUAAUAUGGAACAUAUGUUAUCUUGUAUCUGAAUAAAAUAAAUAGAGAUUAUAUUUCAAAGACUCAUGCCAACAAAACGAGUGGAUGAAAGCAAUGCUGUACGGGAAGAUGUGAUGAGUUUAGACACUGCGAUGGUCUACACCUAUAUUUGAGGCAAUCACUAAUGUGAUCUCAGCAAAUGAUCCAAGACAGGUGAAGAGAUUUUAAAGUUGCAAGACAGCAUCUAAAAUGCAUCAAAGAUCUUUAGUAUAGAGCUAAAGGAGAGGCUUUACGUUAAGUCACCGAAAGCAAAAUCAAAUCACAAAGUUUUAAGAGACUAAUCACAAGAGCUUCAUUGAUGAUGCCAAGAAGCCUGUGUCCUUACAUGAACUGAACAAUAUCUUCUUAGCAAUGAGUGUCAAACUGAAUGAGGAUAAAUUAAUUAUAUAGAGUAUAAAGAACUUCCUCAC